rnacentral:rRNA from 1 species
GCCAGACUCCUACGGGAGGCAGCAGUGAGGAAUAUUGGUCAAUGGUCGGGAGACUGAACCAGCCAAGCCGCGUGAGGGAUGAAGGUACAGAGUAUCGUAAACCUCUUUUGUCAGGGAACAAAGGCGGGGACGCGUCCCCGGAUGAGUGUACCUGAAGAAAAAGCAUCGGCUAACUCCGUGCCAGCGGCCGCGGUAAUACGGAGGAUGCGAGCGUUAUCCGGAUUUAUUGGGUUUAAAGGGUGCGCAGGCGGAAUGUCAAGUCAGCGGUAAAAUUUCGGGGCUCAACCCCGUCGUGCCGUUGAAACUGGCGGCCUCGAGUGGGCGAGAAGUAUGCGGAAUGCGUGGUGUAGCGGUGAAAUGCAUAGAUAUCACGCAGAACUCCGAUUGCGAAGGCAGCAUACCGGCGCCCGACUGACGCUGAGGCACGAAAGCGUGGGUAUCGAACAGGAUUAGAUACCCCUGUAA